rnacentral:rRNA from 1 species
GAUGAACGCUGGCGGCGUGCCUAAUACAUGCAAGUCGAGCGAACGGACGAGAAGCUUGCUUCUCUGAUGUUAGCGGCGGACGGGUGAGUAACACGUGGAUAACCUACCUAUAAGACUGGGAUAACUUCGGGAAACCGGAGCUAAUACCGGAUAAUAUUUUGAACCGCAUGGUUCAAAAGUGAAAGACGGUCUUGCUGUCACUUAUAGAUGGAUCCGCGCUGCAUUAGCUAGUUGGUAAGGUAACGGCUUACCAAGGCAACGAUGCAUAGCCGACCUGAGAGGGGGAUCGGCCACACUGGAACUGAGACACGGUCCAGACUCCUACGGGAGGCAGCAGUAGGGAAUCGUCCGCAAUGGGCGAAAGCCUGACGGAGCAACGCCGCGUGAGUGAUGAAGGUCUUCGGAUCGUAAAACUCUGUUAUUAGGGAAGAACAUAUGUGUAAGUAACUGUGCACAUCUUGACGGUACCUAAUCAGAAAGCCACGGCUAACUACGUG